GACGAACGCUGGCGGCGUGCUUAACACAUGCAAGUCGAGCGGAAAGGCCUCUUCGGGGGUACUCGAGCGGCGAACGGGUGAGUAACACGUGAGUAAUCUGCCUCUGGCUUCGGGAUAGCCACCGGAAACGGUGAUUAAUACCGGAUACGACACAUCACUGCAUGGUGCGUGUGUGGAAAGUUUUUUCGGCCAGGGAUGUGCUCGCGGCCUAUCAGCUUGUUGGUGGGGUAAUGGCCUACCAAGGCUUCGACGGGUAGCCGGCCUGCGAGGGUGACCGGCCACACUGGGACUGAGACACGGCCCAGACUCCUACGGGAGGCAGCAGUGGGGAAUAUUGGACAAUGGGCGGAAGCCUGAUCCAGCAACGCCGCGUGAGGGAUGACGGCCUUCGGGUUGUAAACCUCUUUCAGCACAGACGAAGCGCAAGUGACGGUAUGUGCAGAAGAAGGACCGGCCAACUACGUGCCAGCCGCCGCCGUAAUAC
rnacentral:rRNA from 1 species